UUUUAAGGCGAGGCCCAAAUGUGCUAACCCCUCUUAAAAGCAUCAGCACAUGAAAAUAGGCUCGAAAUUGAGCCCAAGUAAAUGGGAAAACUCCAAUUGCCAACUGGAGAUGGGGUAUUUUCAAGUUGCCAGACACAUUCCAACAAAAUUGACUUGACAUGCGCCAGGCUUAUAAAGGAUAACAAACGGACACUUUUUAAAAAUGAAUACACAAUUUUACGAACCUUGAAAAAUACAGUGCCAAUUUGUAAGAAUUACAAGUUUCAAUUAAUCUAACUACAAUUCAGAAUGACCACAUGGAUCCGGAAAAUAGAGUAACAAUGACAAUUGGACUAGAUAAGAGCUUUUGGCAUUAUUUAAAUCAACACGUCACUGCACUGGAGUACACAAACACUUCUGGUGUUUCCUUCUUUUUUGCUAACUAUUGGUUUAGCCAAAUCAGUUAAGCAAUCUGAAUUAGAGCUAUGUGUGCAGUCACCACCACUUCGCCUACUAACAGUAUUUUCAGAGAGGCUCUCUAGCUGGCAUACAAAAACAGCAGUCAUUACUGACAAAUUUUACAAAUUAAACAACCAUCUUAUCAAGUGUUAGCUAUCACAGCCCCUAAUUCUAGCUGGUAACAACAUAUAAACUUCAUGGCUAAAGAUCAAAUUGUGUAGGCGAUUAAUUUCAUAUAAAUCUACAGAUAACUUCAAAUAUACUGAUUUUAAUCAUUGUUUAACAUGAUGCAUGCAAUAAUUUAACUCAUAACUCAAGGUUGUAUCUCAAACAAUACACAACUUGAUGAAUAUCAGGCACAUUCACAAAAGAAAAUUGAAAAUUGACAGAGCAAACAAACCAUUUUAUAUUUCAAGCAAGCUGGAAAUUACAUUAUUUGAUCAAGAGUAAUACCUUUGUAGGAGCCAAAACUAAAGAAACAGAAAAUAAAUCUCUGAACAUGAGAAACAGCUAAAAGCAAGAUUCCACCACAGUUUGAUGAAAACUCAACACACAGCAACUAACAUCAGUAAAUCCCAGAAGAAGGCCUCAAUUUCAGUCCAAAACUAACUUUAGCAAAAUCAAGAAUCAGUGGAAAGAAAUGACAGAGUCUUAGAAGCAACCCCUGAAUUUUAAUUUUCCAAAUUUGGAAUUCACUUUGAAUUCCAGAAUUUUCUUUAGCUUUUGCUUCAGCAGAAGAUUAAAAGAAAUCUCUAUGUGGUAUAUUUGUCUAUCCCUUCAGAAUGCAGAAUGAAUCCUAUUAUAUAAGCUUUGUGUAUGCUAGGGGUGUGCAUUUCAAUCGGUUUAUCGAUAAAUCAAAUCAUUUAUUUGUUAUCGGUUUAUCGAUAUCGGUUUAUCGAUUUGGAUUUCGAUUUCGAAAUUUUUCUUAUCGAGUUAUCGAUUUCGAUUUCGAUUUUGUCCUCUUCGAUUAUCGGUUAAUCGAUAAACCGAUAAGAUAUACUAAAAAGACAAAAAAAUAUUUCUUUUUUUUACUUUUUAUUUUUACCCUUAUUCUAUAAUACCCUUUCCUUUAUCCUAAGUCCCUAACCCUAUUAUUUCCUCUACCACAUUUAAGGAAUGAUCAUAUUUAAAGAUCAAGGGAAUGAAGUUCAAAUUAAUGGAAAACAAAAUUAGCCGUGAUGAUGUAUUUUGUUUUGUUUUUUUUAUACCGUUGGAGUGUUGGUGACAUACAUUUGAUCCCUUACUUUAGUUUUGUUGCAUGUGCUUGUUGACAUAAUUUUUAUGUUAUAAACGGUGUUCGUCUUAUUUUAGCUUCUUUUUGUCCAUAUUAGUUAGGCGUGUUUAUAGCGAUAUACUUUCCGUGGAAUCCCGCAAAUUUUCUUAUUGGUGUAAUCGAUAACCGAAUCGAUAAGCCCCCAAAAUCGAUAAAUCGAAAUAGAAAAAAUCGAAACCUUAUUAAAACGAUAACGAUAAACAUAUGUACAAAUCUAUAAUCGAUAAGUAAUUAUCGAUAAGGAUCAAAAUCGAAUCGAUAAAUCGAAUGCACACCCCUAGUGUAUGCUAUAAGAGAGAAUGAGAGGGAGUCUAGGAAAAGAAUAUGCCAGCUCCUAAAUUUUAGGGAAAAUGACAUCUUUUCAACUGAAUUGGACAACUGUCCUCUUAUUCUCAGAUAUUUUCCUAUUUUUCAUCAUCUUAUCUUAACAAUUUUGGACAGCUGUCCUAUUUCCAGAAGUUUGCAGAUUUUUUCACCCUUUAAACUUCUGAAAAUUCAUUCUUUUAAACCCCAAUUUUGGCCUAAUUCUUUCAUUUUAUUGCACUUUAAUCCCUUUCUAGAAGCUUCCCACAUAACCAACUCAGAUUCUCUAUUGUGUUUUCCCAAUUAUCCCCCCCCCCAAAUUUUCUGGUAAUUACAAUUAGCUAACCAAAGAGAAUUCACACAGAUUAAGAAUAAGGGGAAAGAACAAAAAAUGCAGAGAUCAAACCGUUUAAACAAAGAUCUAAUUAAUUCAAAAAUUGAUUAAACUAAUUUAACUUGUGCAAUUAAACCUAAUUAUCGAGUAAUUAAACCACUAAUCAUGCAACGAACUAGUAAUCCAAACAUGGUCAUGACAGGUUAUCAGUAAGUAACACGUUCUAAACUAAAAAAGAAGAAGCAGAUUCAUGCAAUACCUAGACUAAUUAAAAUACAAUGUCGCAACCAAAAAGAAGAGAGGGGAAAAAAGGCUAAAUACCCAGUAGCGGAUAGAUGCUAGAAUGUCGACCUCGAGCCGGUCAAUCUCGACCUAAAUCAGGUGUCUUCGGAGUGAGCCAAAACCAACAUCAAUCGAUUGUUCUUGUUAAGAACAAUCGAUCGAUGUAAGUUUUAGGUCAAAAGGGGUUCUGCUCGCUGAAGACAAAGAACAAAACAAAGUUUAGGUUUUCUGGGGAUUUUAGAUAUGAAAAUCGAGCAAUCUUAGGGUGUUUUGGAGGAAAUUAAAAGGGGAUAUGGGAUGAGGAGGAGGUGGGGAUUGUGGGGGUGAGGAUUUGGGGUGGUUUGGAGUGGUGGCCGUCGAUUAAGGAGGUGGGGGAUUUAGGGGCGGCUAGGGUUUUCUUGAGAGAGAAGGGGGAGGAUGGGAAAUGAACGAGGUCUCUAGGGUUCUGGGG
rnacentral:lncRNA from 1 species